rnacentral:rRNA from 1 species
GUGGGGAAUCUUGCGCAAUGGGCGAAAGCCUGACGCAGCCAUGCCGCGUGAAUGAUGAAGGUCUUAGGAUUGUAAAAUUCUUUCACCGGGGACGAUAAUGACGGUACCCGGAGAAGAAGCCCCGGCUAACUUCGUGCCAGCAGCCGCGGUAAUACGAAGGGGGCUAGCGUUGCUCGGAAUUACUGGGCGUAAAGGGCGCGUAGGCGGACAGUUUAGUCAGAGGUGAAAGCCCAGGGCUCAACCUUGGAAUUGCCUUUGAUACUGGCUGUCUUGAGUACGGGAGAGGUGAGUGGAACUCCGAGUGUAGAGGUGAAAUUCGUAGAUAUUCGGAAGAACGCCAGUCGCGAAGGCGACUCACUGGCCCGUUACUGACGCUGAGGCGCGAAAGCGUGGGGAGCAAACAGGAUUAGAAACCCCUGUAGUCC